AGGCUCAAAAUUAAUAGUGGCGGACGGGUGAGUAACACGUUGGAACCUGCCCCGAAGAGGGGGAUAACUACCCGAAAGGGUGGCUAAUACCCCAUAUACUCCGAUUUAUUCGGAGGAAAGCUUUCGCGCUUCGGGAGGGGCCUGCGCAACAUUAGCUAGUUGGUGAGGUAAAAGCUCACCAAGGCGACGAUGUUUAGCUGGUUUGAGAGGAUGAUCAGCCACACUGGGACUGAGAUACGGCCCAGACUCCUACGGGAGGCAGCAGUAAGGAAUAUUCCACAAUGGGGGAAACCCUGAUGGAGCAAUACCGCGUGCAGGAAGACGCUUUUCGGAGUGUAAACUGCUUUUAUCUACCAAGAUUAUGACGGUAGUAGAUGAAUAAGGACCGGCUAACUACGUG
rnacentral:rRNA from 1 species